ACGGGUGAGUAAUGCCUAGGAAUCUGCCUGGUAGUGGGGGACAACGUUUCGAAAGGAACGCUAAUACCGCAUACGUCCUACGGGAGAAAGCAGGGGACCUUCGGGCCUUGCGCUAUCAGAUGAGCCUAGGUCGGAUUAGCUAGUUGGUGAGGUAAUGGCUCACCAAGGCGACGAUCCGUAACUGGUCUGAGAGGAUGAUCAGUCACACUGGAACUGAGACACGGUCCAGACUCCUACGGGAGGCAGCAGUGGGGAAUAUUGGACAAUGGGCGAAAGCCUGAUCCAGCCAUGCCGCGUGUGUGAAGAAGGUCUUCGGAUUGUAAAGCACUUUAAGUUGGGAGGAAGGGCAGUCAGCGAAUACCUUGCUGUCUUGACGUUACCGACAGAAUAAGCACCGGCUAACUCUGUGCCAGCAGCCGCGGUAAUACAGAGGGUGCAAGCGUUAAUCGGAAUUACUGGGCGUAAAGCGCGCGUAGGUGGUUUGUUAAGUUGAAUGUGAAAUCCCCGGGCUCAACCUGGGAACUGCAUCCAAAACUGGCAAGCUAGAGUAGGGCAGAGGGUGGUGGAAUUUCCUGUGUAGCGGUG
rnacentral:rRNA from 1 species